rnacentral:sRNA from 1 species
UUAAAAUUGUUGAGAUAGAUUUAUUAAUAUAAUAAUAAACCAAUAUUGGCGAUGGUGGAAGUAUAUUCUACGAUAGUCCUACUGGAGAUGAAGACAUUGUUAUUUGCAAA